rnacentral:rRNA from 1 species
AUGCAAGUCGAACGCGUCUUGGUUAUUGAUGUUAAGUGCUUGCAUUUAACUGAUUUAACAUUGAGACGAGUGGCGAACUGGUGAGUAACACGUGGGUAACCUGCCCUUGAAGUAGGGGAUAACACUUGGAAACAGGUGCUAAUACCGUAUAACAACCAAAACCACCUGGUUUUGGUUUAAAAGAUGGCUUCGGCUAUCACUUUAGGAUGGACCCGCGGCGUAUUAGCUUGUUGGUAAGGUAACGGCCUACCAAGGCAAUGAUACGUAGCCGACCUGAGAGGGUAAUCGGCCACAUUGGGACUGAGACACGGCCCAAACUCCUACGGGAGGCAGCAGUAGGGAAUCUUCCACAAUGGACGAAAGUCUGAUGGAGCAACGCCGCGUGAGUGAUGAAGGGUUUCGGCUCGUAAAACUCUGUUGUUGGAGAAGAACAGGUGUGAGAGUAACUGUUCACAUCUUGACGGUAUCCAACCAGAAAGCCACGGCUAACUACGUGCCAGCAGCCGCGGUAAUACGUAGGUGGCAAGCGUUGUCCGGAUUUAUUGGGCGUAAAGCGAGCGCAGGCGGUUUCUUAGGUCUGAUGUGAAAGCCUUCGGCUUAACCGGAGAAGUGCAUCGGAAACCAGGAGACUUGAGUGCAGAAGAGGACAGUGGAACUCCAUGUGUAGCGGUGAAAUGCGUAGAUAUAUGGAAGAACACCAGUGGCGAAGGCGGCUGUCUGGUCUGUAACUGACGCUGAGGCUCGAAAGCAUGCGUAGCGAACAGGAUUAGAUACCCUGGUAGUCCAUGCCG